UACGGGGGGGGUAAGCGUUGUUCGGAAUUACUGGGCGUAAAGGGCUCGUAGGCGGCCAACUAAGUCAGACGUGAAAUCCCUCAGCUUAACUGGGGAACUGCGUCUGAGACUGGAUGGCUUGAGUGCAGGAGAGGAACGCGGAAUUCCAGGUGUAGCGGUGAAAUGCGUAGAUAUCUGGAGGAACACCGGUGGCGAAGGCGGCGUUCUGGACUGCAACUGACACUGAGGAACGAAAGCCAGGGGAGCAAACGGG
rnacentral:rRNA from 1 species